UUUCCCGUAAGGCGCCGAAUGAGUCAUUAAUAUUAACAUCAUCCGAUCCCUAGUCGGCAUAGUUUAUGGUUAAGACUACGACGGUAUCUGAUCGUCUUCGAUCCCCUAACUUUCGUUCUUGAUUAAUGAAAACAUCCUUGGCAAAUGCUUUCGCAGUAGUUAGUCUUCAAUAAAUCCAAGAAUUUCACCUCUGACAAUUGAAUACUAAUGCCCCCAACUAUCCCUAUUAAUCAUUACGUCGAUCCUAGAAACCAACAAAAUAAAAUCAAACGUCCUAUUUCGUUAUUCCAUGCUAAUGUAUUCAAGCGUGAGCCUGCUUUAAACACUCUAAUUUUUUCAAAGUAACAGUCCUGAUUCCCUAUAACACCAAAUUAAUGGCAUUGUAGUUCGUCAGAAAAGAGAAACCGAUUAUACCAGUACGUACAAAAGCACGACCAGUAAACCGGUCUCGAAAUUCAACUACGAGCUUUUUAACUGCAACAACUUUAAUAUACGCUAUUGGAGCUGGAAUUACCGCGGCUGCUGGCACCAGACUUGCCCUCCAA
rnacentral:rRNA from 1 species